CAGUAGCCGCGGUAAUACGUAGGUGGCAAGCGUUGUCCGGAAUUAUUGGGCGUAAAGGGCUCGCAGGCGGUUUCUUAAGUCUGAUGUGAAAGCCCCCGGCUCAACCGGGGAGGGUCAUUGGAAUCUGGGAAACUUGAGUGCAGAAGAGGAGAGUGGAAUUCCACGUGUAGCGGUGAAGUGCGUAGAGAUGUGGAGGAACACCAGUGGCGAAGGCGACUCUCUGGUCUGUAACUGACGCUGAGGAGCGAAAGCGUGGGGAGCGAACAGGAUUAGAUACCCGAGUAGUCCCUGUCUCUUAUAC
rnacentral:rRNA from 1 species